rnacentral:rRNA from 1 species
AGAGUUUGAUCCAUGGCUCAGAACGAACGCUGGCGGCGUGCCUAACACUAGCAAGUCGCACGAGAAAUCUCGCUUCGGCGGGAGAGUAAAGUGGCGCACGGGUGAGUAACGCGUGGGUAAUUUGCCCUUGAGAUGGGGAUAACCCUGCGAAAGCGGGGCUAAUACCGAAUAAGACCACGGCUCGUUCGCGGGCAGUGGUAAAAGGCGGCCUCUACAUGUAAGCUGUUGCUCAAGGAUAAGCCCGCGUACCAUUAGCUUGUUGGUGGGGUAAUGGCCCACCAAGGCAACGAUGGUUAGCUGAUCUGAGAGGAUGGUCAGCCACACUGGAACUGAGACACGGUCCAGACUCCUACGGGAGGCAGCAGUGGGGAAUUUUCCGCAAUGGGGGGAACCCUGACGGAGCAACGCCGCGUGCGGGAGGAAGGCCUUCGGGUUGAAACCAGCUUUUCUCUGGAAGGAAGAACUGACAGGACCAGAGAAC